GACCGCAUCGUGGAUGGAGUUGAAGAGGCAGGACUUUGUCACAUUGCUGCUGAAGAAUCCCCCGGCCUGUAGGCUCUCCACCACGCCGCCUAGGCACAACGAUAACAUUCAGAGAUGAAACGUUGCACUAAGAAGCGAGAGAAGCUGAAAAGGCAUGGAGCAACUAGAGGGAUGCAGUAGAAAGGAAAUCUGCAGAGUUGAGAAGAGAACAAACAACAGGAGGCUUUUUCUUGUCUACGGAAGUUCACAGGGCUCAGGUCAAGGAUAAUGGCCCUUGGCAGCGAGGGGUCCGGAUCGUUGUCCACGCCGAUGAUGGCGAUGCCCUUCUGGUGCUCUGAAUUUGGCUCCUCCUGCUGGAUGGAAGAAGGCACGACAAAGUUAAGAGCUUCCUGGUACAUCUCAGCAUUGGCAAAGUAGAGGGUGGCAGAGGAACGGAAGAUUAAUAUUCCUGGCACCUGCUUCGCCUAAAAUCAGUUAAUGAGAGCGGGGAUGUCCAAGAACUGCUUCAUCAUGCCAUGGAGAUUAACGAAGAUGAUGGCAGCCAGCACUGCCUG